UGAACCCGGCGUGAGUGUCCGUGUCGGGGGUGACAGUCGUGGACAUCGUGUCGUCGGAGGCUGCAGUCAUGUGGAUCCCGCUGGAUAACGACUCCUGGGACUUCUUGGAGGAUUUCAGAUCCAUCUGGUCCAAACUCUGAGUGAGAGCACCGAUCGUCUCUCUGAACGGUGAAUUAGGGCCAUUGUAGAUAGAAAAAAAGCAACGACCAGCGGCGCCCUCUGCUGGAAGGCCGCCAGAUUACAACACUAAAAGAAGACCUAAUUGGACGUUAUUAGUUAAUCAAAUUUUAAUUUGAUAAACUAUUAAUUAACAAUUAGUAAAUGCAUCUAUAGUUAGAAUGCAUCUGAUGGAGUUCUUUGGUAUGGUGAU